rfam:Linderina pennispora strain ATCC 12442 DL89scaffold_1, whole genome shotgun sequence.
GCGUUGAUAGUUAAGAGGUAUAAUUGAUGCCUUCCAAGCAUUAGUCCCGGGUUCGAUUCCCGGUCAACGCA